UGGUUAGAACAGAAGCAGCAAUAUUAGCCUUGAUGUAAUAGUUCUAAUUAUCCUCCAUGCCAAAGACAGACUAGAAUAUUAAUUGUUACCAAUAUGAAUAAAUUAAUGAAUCAUUCAUCAUAAUUGUUAAAGUGUGAACAUAAUCUGUACAUAAUUAAAGGAGAUUACAUAAUCAUAAGCUAAUUGAUACUAAUUAAUUGAUACAUGAUUUUUAGGAGUUGUCUUAACGAGGUCUUAUAAUCUGUAUAUAAAUACACUUACUUCAAUAGAGAAUACACACAAUAUUGCCCAAUUGUUCCUUGUCUUGUUAUAUGGUAUUAGAGCUUUUAGGGUUCAUUUGUUAUUUCUUUUGGGUUUGGAAUACUAUUCUCCUUUGAAUCACCGGUCUAGGUGAUUAUUUGACCUCAUCACCGUCCAGAGAAGCGGCGCAAUAGAGUUUCCGGCCUCUAUGCAAAGACCGGUGGUCAUAUUGCCAACGAGUGGUCUCCACAUGCCAUUUUUCUUUUUGGCCUGUUCUUGACGCGCAUCGCACCUCCGACGAGUCUUCGAUUCCACUCCCGAGAUUGCCUCGUUUGUCAUCAGACCUCACUGUCGUCAGAUUUCUCUUCUGUUGGAGCUGUCCAAAUUCCAUUUUUUUUCCUUCAAGGCCGUGUGAGGGCUAUUUUGAUGCUUUUAUUAUUGGGUGAAGUGUUUUUAAGCUCUAAUGUUGCUUGAAAUUGCUUCCGAUAGCAAGACCCAUGUCGCUAAAAUUAUUCCCACACCCACUAAAAUUACAAAAUAUAGAUUGAAAGGGUACACUCCUGUAGCUACUAUUGCUGAGAUAGGUAAAACUUGCCUUAUCUCCUCUUCACAUAAAUGGAUCAUUGAUUCUAGUGCCACAUAUCACAUGACAUGUAAUCCUCAUAUUUUCACCGGUUUUCAAUCUUAUAGAACACCAUUUCCUAUUACUGUAACUGUAGCUGAUAGGUCAAUCUAUAAUGUUGAGAGGCCCGGAACCAUUAAACCUACUUCUAUUACCCUAUUACUUGUACUAAAUUUCCCUAAUCUUAUUUUUAAUUAAAUCUCUAUAGUAAACUUACCAAAGACCUAAAUUGUUCUCUUUUUUUUUUUCUAAUCAUUGUCUCAUUCAAAAUUUUGUGACAAAGCAGAUUAUUGGUAAAGGAUACGCAUCUGGGAGUCUUUAUAUUUUGGAUGCAUGGGUGCCUCGGUCUGUCUCUGUUCGAAGCACAUUGUCGAUUGGGACAUCCUUCUUUCAAUUUCAUGAAGUAUCUUAACUGGAGUGAGUCGUGUCAUUUUACCAAACAUCAUCAAAGCUUUUCAAGUCUUAGAUUCAAUAAACGAGCCGAGUCUCCUUUUGAAUUAGUUCAUUCGGAUGUUUGAAGACCAUGUCCGACUGGGUUUAAGACUGCAUUCAGAUAUUUUGUCACUUUUAUGGAUGAUUUCUCUAUAAUGACUUAAAAUUUAUUGUAUGAAGCAUCGUACGGAGGUUCUCUCAUUUCUUUACCUUUUAUGCUGAAAUCAAGACUCAAAUUAAGGUUUCUGUGCAAAAUUUGAGAAGCAACAAUGCUAAAAAAUAUAUGUUAGAAUCAUUUCAGACUUAUAUGACUCAACAUGGUAUUAUUCACCAAUCAUCAUGUGUUGAUAUCCCUAGUCAAAAUGGGAUAGCUGAAAGGAAGAAUAGACAACUCCUUCAGAUUACUCGAGCUCUACUAUUUCAAAUGCAAGUUCCUAAACAAUUAUGGACCGAUGAUGUCUCUAUUGCAUGCUUCCUCAUUAACUGUGUGCUCUCCGCAGUACUAAACGGCAAUACUUCCUAUAAUGUCCUCUUUCCUAAGAAGUCAUUAUUUCCUCUACAACCACGACUUUUUGGCAGCAUUUGCUAUGUUUAGAACGUUAAACCUCAUUUGACUAAACUUGAUCCUAAAACUUUAAAGUGUCUUUUUGGGAUAUUCUCGUCUUCAGAAGGGUAUCAGUGUUACUCUGCAAAGCUCAACAAAUAUCUGGUCUCAACAGAUGUAACCUUUUCCAAGCAAAUUCCUUUUUAUCCUGUUGCACCAGAAGGAGAACGAUGAGUAGCUCAACUAUAGAAUCACAUCUUACUGUGGCAAUUCCUCAAAUGUGCCUUCUGUUGCACCAUCUGAUGGUGGCAUUCCUCCCAGUUAAACCGUUAGUUAUUCAAGUUUACUCUUGGAGACCAAUACUUGCUAAUACAUAUCCUGCACCAGUAUCUUCUUCGCCAUCGAAUCCAUCACCAAGUGACCUUGACCUCCCCAUUAAUCUUCGUAAAGGCAAAUGACAAUGUAAAUCUACCUAUUAUGUUGCUAACUUUCUUUCUUAUGAUCAUCGGUCUCUUUCUUCUACAUCCUUAAUUGUCUCUCUAAAUUCCAUUUCUUUAUCUAAGACAGUUAAAGUGGCUCUGACCCAUUCUGGAUGGCAUGACGUAAUACUUGAGGAUAUCAAGACCUUAGAUAAAAAUCAUACUUGGAACUAGUUGAUUAACCCUCUGGCAAAAAAAUCGUGGGACUCAAAUUCUUUAAACUCAAAUUCUUGAACAACUUCGCUGAACUUACCAAACCAUGCAUACAAAUCUGUACAUAAUCUGUAUAUAUUCAAAUCUAUACUCCAACUUGAUGAGAGUGUUAAAGUGUGAACAUAAUCUGUACAUAAUUAAAGAAGAUUACAUAAUUAAAAAAGAUUACAUAAUUAUACGCUAAUUGAUAUUAAUUGAUUGACAGAGGAUUCUUAGGAGUUGCCUUAACGAGACCUUAUAAUUUGUAUAUAAAAACACUUACUUCAAUAGAGAAUACACAAAGUAUUGCCCAAUUGUUCAUUGUCUUGUUACAAUAACCAAGCCAGUAUAACACUAAACAUCAGUAUCGCGAAAAUGGAGUAAAAGAAAAAAACUCUUGGAAUAAAAUGAGAAAGAAAAAGGCCUAAUAAAGCUCAAGCAUGCACCCCCAUGUCAUGACUUGUAUGUUGACUUGCCAAUGGACAGAAACCUCGUUGGAAAGAAAGGAAGGAAGGAAAUACAGUAACUUAAAAGUGCAAACUUCAUAAGAUAAUGCUUAGGAUACACAUAAAUGAAGCCAUGCCUUUGCCAUUAAGUGAUACACUUGACAAAAUGGAAAUGAAUGUCCUCUUAUCAUUCAAUGACCUCCUAUUCCAGCCGACAAGUUUGUUAUAGAUAUAGUAGCAAUGCAAAAGUAAUGUCUAAAAAUGCAAGUAAAAGGCUUAUGUAGGUGCAGGUAAUUAUUAAGGAAAAAGACAACGGAACAGCCUUUAUAAUGUGCAGGACCCAUAGCAGCAGUUCAACUGAGUUACCUUUGUUGUCUCUUAAGUAUUUUUUUAGAUUAGUAAUAAAAUAUCAA
rnacentral:lncRNA from 1 species